rnacentral:misc_RNA from 1 species
UGUAGGAGCUGGCUUGCUAGCGAUGGCAUCAACGCGGUGCAUCAUUUCGACCGAGGUGAUGCCAUCGCUAGCAAGCCAGCUCCUACA